rnacentral:rRNA from 1 species
UGGGGAAUAUUGGACAAUGGGGGGAACCCUGAUCCAGCCAUGCCGCGUGUGUGAAGAAGGCCUUAUGGUUGUAAAGCACUUUAAGCGAGGAGGAGGGUACUGGUAUUAAUACUACCAGGUACUGGACGUUACUCGCAGAAUAAGCACCGGCUAACUCUGUGCCAGCAGCCGCGGUAAUACAGAGGGUGCGAGCGUUAAUCGGAUUUACUGGGCGUAAAGCGUGCGUAGGCGGCUAAUUGAGUCGGAUGUGAAAUCCCCGAGCUUAACUUGGGAAUUGCAUUCGAUACUGGUUAGCUAGAGUGUGGGAGAGGAUGGUAGAAUUCCAGGUGUAGCGGUGAAAUGCGUAGAGAUCUGGAGGAAUACCGAUGGCGAAGGCAGCCAUCUGGCCUAAUACUGACGCUGAGGUACGAAAGCAUGGGGAGCAAACAGG